GACGAACGCUGGCGGCGUGCUUAACACAUGCAAGUCGAACGGAAAGGCCCUGCUUGCAGGGUACUCGAGUGGCGAACGGGUGAGUAACACGUGGGUGAUCUGCCCUGCACUUCGGGAUAAGCCUGGGAAACUGGGUCUAAUACCGGAUAGGAGCCAUUUUUAGUGUGAUGGUCGGAAAGUUUUUUCGGUGUAGGAUGAGCUCGCGGCCUAUCAGCUUGUUGGUGGGGUAAUGGCCUACCAAGGCGGCGACGGGUAGCCGGCCUGAGAGGGUGGACGGCCACAUUGGGACUGAGAUACGGCCCAGACUCCUACGGGAGGCAGCAGUGGGGAAUAUUGCACAAUGGGCGCAAGCCUGAUGCAGCGACGCCGCGUGGGGGAUGACGGCCUUCGGGUUGUAAACUCCUUUCGCUAGGGACGAAGCUUUUUGUGACGGUACCUAGAUAAGAAGCACCGGCUAACUACGUG
rnacentral:rRNA from 1 species